rnacentral:rRNA from 1 species
UACGUAGGGGGCGAGCGUUGUCCGGAUUUACUGGGCGUAAAGCGCGUGUAGGCGGGAGAUUAAGUUGGGUGUGAAAGCCCGGGGCUCAACCCCGGGAUGCCGCCCAAGACUGGUCUCCUUGAGGACGGAAGAGGGGAGUGGAAUUCCUGGUGUAGCGGUGAAAUGCGUAGAGAUCAGGAGGAACACCGGUGGCGAAGGCGGGUCUCUGGGCCGAUACUGACGCUGAGGAGCGAAAGCGUGGGGAGCGAACAGG